UGGAGAUUGAAUAGCAUGCUAUUCAACAAUGAAGGGGUUAAUAAUGAAAUCAAGGAAGAAAUCAAAAAAGUUUCUGGAAACAAAUGAAACUGAACUCACAACAACCCAAAACCUAUGUGACACAGCAAAGGCAGUCCUGAGAGGGAAGUUCAUAGCAAUACAGGAAUACCU